rnacentral:rRNA from 1 species
AGUGAACGCUGGCGGCGUGCUUAACACAUGCAAGUCGAACGAGAACGGGUUAUAGCUUGCUAUAAUUGUCAGCUAAGUGGCGCACGGGUGAGUACUGUAUAGGUAAUACGCCUCUUACUAAGGGAUAACAAAUGGAAACGUUUGCUAAUACCUUAUACUCCUUAUUAACAUAAGUUAAUAAGGGAAAGAUUUAUUGGUAAGAGAUUAGCCUGUAUUGUAUCAGUUAGUUGGUGGGGUAAUGGCUUGCCAAGACUAUGACACAUAACUGGUUUGAGAGGAUGAUCAGUCACACUGGAACUGAGACACGGUCCAGACUCCUACGGGAGGCAGCAGUGGGGAAUAUUGCACAAUGGACGAAAGUCUGAUGCAGCAACGCCGCGUGGAGGAUGACACAUUUCGGUGCGUAAACUCCUUUUAUAUGAGAAGAUAAUGACGGUAUUAUAUGAAUAAGCACCGGCUAACUCCGUGCCAGCCGCCGCAGUAA